GAUGGACGCUAGCUACAGGCUUAACACAUGCAAGUCGCGGGGCAGCAUGGGGGUUGCUUGCAAUCCCCGAUGGCGACCGGCGCACGGGUGAGUAACGCGUAUCCAACCUGCCCUUCACCACGGGAUAACCCGGCGAAAGUCGGACUAAUACCGUAUGUUGUCCAUUGACGGCAUCCGAUUUGGACGAAAGGCUUGGCGGUGAGGGAUGGGGAUGCGUCCGAUUAGCCAGACGGCGGGGUAACGGCCCACCGUGGCUACGAUCGGUAGGGGUUCUGAGAGGAAGGUCCCCCACACUGGAACUGAGACACGGUCCAGACUCCUACGGGAGGCAGCAGUGAGGAAUAUUGGUCAAUGGGCGUAAGCCUGAACCAGCCAAGUAGCGUGCAGGAUGACGGCCCUAUGGGUUGUAAACUGCUUUUAUGCGGGGAUAAAGUGGCCCACGUGUGGGCUUUUGCAGGUACCGCAUGAAUAAGGACCGGCUAAUUCCGUG
rnacentral:rRNA from 1 species